AACUUGUGGUGCGAGCAUUUAUGAAUCAACAUUUUGAAGCGUUCCCACACCUCAUAGAAACUUUGUCCCUCUAUCUGUCUAAAGACAACAAUCUCUCUUCUUAGCU
rfam:Gossypium hirsutum cultivar TM-1 chromosome 2, whole genome shotgun sequence